rnacentral:lncRNA from 1 species
GUGGACUCCAAUCAAGUUGUAGAAACAUCUCAAAGAUGAUCAAUGGAAACAGGAUGCACCUGAGCUUAAUUUCGAGUCUCAUAGCAAAGGGUCUGAAUACUUAUGUAAAUAAGAUAUGACUUCCGCAAUAGGGUGGCAGAGGUCCUAGAGGUGAACAUGUCCAGGGUCACCAUCCUUCCAGGGUCUCCUCUGACCACAGUGGACGGACCAUGCCAGAAAGUCAGCUUCCUUGUCUCAGGGGAGGUGAGUACGGACAAGAUGAACUCUAUCAAAGACAGUGAGAAGAUGGGCAUCUUCAAGCAGACAGAAGGUUGCUCAAGAAGUUCUGGACAACUGCUGGAGCCUGGGAGAUAUCUGGUGAUGUUGACGAUAGCUGCAGCCUACUUCCUACACUCUCUGAUCCAGCAGUAGUUUAUACUGUAGAUCUAGGUUUGCAUCCCAAAUGGCACCCUAUUCCCCAUAUAGUGCACUACUUCUGACCAGAGACUUUUAAAACAUUUUAUUUUUUAUUUCACCUUUAUUUAACCAGGUUUGCCAGUUGAGAACAAGUUCUCAUUUACAACUGCGACCUGGCCAAGUUAAAGCAAAGCAGUGCGACACAAACAACACGGAUUUACACAUGGAAUAAACAAAUGUACAGUCAAUAACACAAUAGAAAAAAUCUAUAUACAGUGUGUGCAAAUGAGGUAAGAUUAGGGAGGUAAGGCAAUAAAUAGGCCGUAGUGGCGAAGUCAUUACAAUUUAGCAAUUAAACACUGGAGUGAUAGAUGUGCAGAAUGAAUGUGCAAGUAGAGAUACUGGGGUGCAAAGGAGCCAAAAAAUAAAUAAAAAAAUAACAAUAUGGGGAUGAGGUAGUUGGAUGGGCUAUUUACAGAUGGCCUAUGUACAGGUGCAAUGAUCUGUGAGCUGCUCUGACAGCUGAUGCUUAAAGUUAGUGAGGAAGAUAUGAGUCUCCAGCUUCAGUGAUUUUUGCAACUCAUUCCAGUCAUUGGCAGCAGAGAACUGGAAGGAAAGGCGGCCAAAGAAGGAAUUGACAUUGGGGGUGACCAGUGAAAUAUACCUGCUGGAGCGCGUGCUAUGGGUGGGUGCUGCUAUGGUGACCAGUGAGUUGAGAUAAGGCGGGGUUUUACCUAGCAAAGACUUGGGCUUUGGUCAAAAGUAGUGC